UGAGUAAUGCCUAGGAAAUUGCCCUGAUGUGGGGGAUAACCAUUGGAAACGAUGGCUAAUACCGCAUGAUGCCUACGGGCCAAAGAGGGGGACCUUCGGGCCUCUCGCGUCAGGAUAUGCCUAGGUGGGAUUAGCUAGUUGGUGAGGUAAGGGCUCACCAAGGCGACGAUCCCUAGCUGGUCUGAGAGGAUGAUCAGCCACACUGGAACUGAGACACGGUCCAGACUCCUACGGGAGGCAGCAGUGGGGAAUAUUGCACAAUGGGCGCAAGCCUGAUGCAGCCAUGCCGCGUGUGUGAAGAAGGCCUUCGGGUUGUAAAGCACUUUCAGUCGUGAGGAAGGUAGUGUAGUUAAUAGCUGCAUUAUUUGACGUUAGCGACAGAAGAAGCACCGGCUAACUCCGUGCCAGCAGCCGCGGUAAUACGGAGGGUGCGAGCGUUAAUCGGAAUUACUGGGCGUAAAGCGCAUGCAGGUGGUUUGUUAAGUCAGAUGUGAAAGCCCGGGGCUCAACCUCGGAAUUGCAUUUGAAACUGGCAGACUAGAGUACUGUAGAGGGGGGUAGAAUUUCAGGUGUAGCGGUGAAAUGCGUAGAGAUCUGAAGGAAUACCGGUGGCGAAGGCGGCCCCCUGGACAGAUACUGACACUCAGAUGCGAAAGCGUGGGGAGCAAACAGGAUUAGAUACCCUGGUAGUCCACGCCGUAAACGAUGUCUACUUGGAGGUUGUGGCCUUGAGCCGUGGCUUUCGGAGCUAACGCGUUAAGUAGACCGCCUGGGGAGUACGGUCGCAAGAUUAAAACUCAAAUGAAUUGACGGGGGCCCGCACAAGCGGUGGAGCAUGUGGUUUAAUUCGAUGCAACGCGAAGAACCUUACCUACUCUUGACAUCCAGAGAACUUUCCAGAGAUGGAUUGGUGCCUUCGGGAACUCUGAGACAGGUGCUGCAUGGCUGUCGUCAGCUCGUGUUGUGAAAUGUUGGGUUAAGUCCCGCAACGAGCGCAA
rnacentral:rRNA from 1 species